rnacentral:rRNA from 1 species
AAAUUGAACUCGCUGUGAAGAUGCAGUGUACCCGCGGCAAGACGGAAAGACCCCGUGAACCUUUACUAUAGCUUGACACUGAACAUUGAGCCUUGAUGUGUAGGAUAGGUGGGAGGCUUUGAAGUGUGGACGCCAGUCUGCAUGGAGCCGACCUUGAAAUACCACCCUUUAAUGUUUGAUGUUCUAACGUUGACCCGUAAUCCGGGUUGCGGACAGUGUCUGGUGGGUAGUUUGACUGGGGCGGUCUCCUCCUAAAGAGUAACGGAGGAGCACGAAGGUUGGCUAAUCCUGGUCGGACAUCAGGAGGUUAGUGCAAUGGCAUAAGCCAGCUUGACUGCGAGCGUGACGGCGCGAGCAGGUGCGAAAGCAGGUCAUAGUGAUCCGGUGGUUCUGAAUGGAAGGGCCAUCGCUCAACGGAUAAAAGGUACUCCGGGGAUAACAGGCUGAUACCGCCCAAGAGUUCAUAUCGACGGCGGUGUUUGGCACCUCGAUGUCGGCUCAUCACAUCCUGGGGCUGAAGUAGGUCCCAAGGGUAUGGCUGUUCGCCAUUUAAAGUGGUACGCGAGCUGGGUUUAGAACGUCGUGAGACAGUUCGGUCCCUAUCUGCCGUGGGCGCUGGAGAACUGAGGGGGGCUGCUCCUAGUACGAGAGGACCGGAGUGGACGCAUCACUGGUGUUCGGGUUGUCAUGCCAAUGGCACUGCCCGGUAGCUAAAUGCGGAAGAGAUAAGUGCUGAAAGCAUCUAAGCACGAAACUUGCC